GUAUGACUGGUUUUACUGAUUCCUCCCUCUUGAAGAACUGUAAUGCCAUUAAUUUGGUGUUGCAGGGAAUCAGGACUGUUACUUUGAAAAAAUUAGAGUGUUUAAAGCAGGCUUUAGCUUGAAUACAUUAGCAUGGAAUAAUGAAAUAGGACGUUUGAUCCUAUUUUGUUGGUUUCUAGGAUUGACGUAAUGAUUAAUAGGGAUAGUUGGGGGCAUUAGUAUUCAAUUGUCAGAGGUGAAAUUCUUGGAUUUAUUGAAGACUAACUACUGCGAAAGCAUUUGCCAAGGAUGUUUUCAUUAAUCAAGAACGAAAGUUAGGGGAUCGAAGACGAUCAGAUACCGUCGUAGUCUUAACCAUAAACUAUGCCGACUAGGGAUCGGAUGAUGUUAAUUUUUUAAUGACUCAUUCGGCGCCUUACG
rnacentral:rRNA from 1 species